UACAGAGGUGCCGAGCGUUAGGCGGAAUCACUGGGCUUAAAGCGUGUGUAGGCGGAUCUGUAAGUACCUUGUGAAAUCCCACGGCUCAACCGUGGAACUGCUUGGUAUACUGCGGGUCUUGAGCCACCUAGGGGCAAGUGGAACAAACGGUGGAGCGGUGAAAUGCGUAGAUAUCGUUUGGAACGCCAAUGGUGAAAACAACUUGCUGGGGGUGUGCUGACGCUGAGACACGAAAGCCAGGGUAGCAAACGGG
rnacentral:rRNA from 1 species